rnacentral:rRNA from 1 species
GAUGAACGCUGGCGGCGUGCCUAAUACAUGCAAGUUGUGCGGUAACAGAGAGAGCUUGCUCUCUGCUGACGAGCGGCGGACGGCAGAGUAACGCGUAGGAACAUACCCCAAACUGAGGGAUAACUGCUCGAAAGAGUAGCUAAUACCGCAUGUGGUCUUCGGAUUAAAAGCUUCGGCGGUUUGGGAGUGGCCUGCGUCCGAUUAGCUAGUUGGUGAGGUAAUUGCUCACCAAGGCGACGAUCGGUAGCUGGUCUGAGAGGAUGAUCAGCCUGACUGGAACUGAGAACGGUCCAGACUCCUACGGGAGGCAGCAGUAGGGAAUUUUCCACAAUGAGCGAAAGCCUGAUGGAGCAACGCCGCGUGCAGGAUGAAUGCCUUCGGGUUGUAAACUGCUUUUCUGUGUGAAGAAUAUGACGGUAACACAAGGAAUAAGGGUCGGCUAACUACGUGCCAGCAGCCGCGGUAAU